UAGUUAUUUCUUUAAACCUAAAGAAUUUGGCGGUGUUUUAUUCUAUUCAGAGGAACUUGUCUAGUAAUUGAUAAUCCUCAUUUUAUCUUGCUUGAUUUUGUUUAUAGUAUGUAUACCGUUGUUAUAAGUUUAUUUUUUUAGAAUUUUAAAUUUACUUUUUAUAUAAUUUUAUGUUAUUUCAAAUCAAGGUGCAGCUUAUAAUUAAGUUUUGAUGAGUUACAAUAUUAUUUAAAUAUAUGGAUGUAAUGAUUAAUAAUUUUAUUGAAAGUGGAUUUGAUAGUAAUAUUAAUAAUAGAGUUAUAAUGAAUAUAGCUCUAAAAUGAGUACACAUCGCCCG
rnacentral:rRNA from 1 species